rnacentral:misc_RNA from 1 species
AGAGAUGAACAUCUGUGUUGUGAGAUAGAAACUCAAUUUUGAUUACAUUUAUUACAUUAUUGCAUGUCAUUUUGUAACAGCUAUGGUUUAUUACAUAUCAUUUUGUGUGUGGCAAUUCAUAAGGCUGUUAAACUUUACCAUGUGCAUAUGUGGAAUUUUUAAUGCUAUAUUGAUAAAUAUCAUUUUAUGAAUAUGUAUAGAGAGCAGUUGUGGAAUGUAAGGAAUGUUUGCAGUAUAUUUUUAUGUCAUUUAUAUCCAUGUAAUAUUUCUAUUUCUACAAGGGACACGAACCAUUCCAAUAUUUUCAUUGUACAUAUCAUGAACUCUUCAAUCACUUAUAUUAUUUUUGAAUUAUAUUGUAAAUUAGGAACUUUUGUAAUUAUAUAUACAUGUAUAUUUGUACAUAAAUGUACACUGAUUUUUUAUAUGCAGUAAAAAUUAAACUAUUAACUUAU